rnacentral:rRNA from 1 species
GGACUACCCGGGUAUCUAAUCCUGUUUGCUAUCCAGGCCUUCGUCCCUCAACGUCAGUUUUUAGAUAAAAGGUUGCUUUCGCCACUACCAGUCCUCAUGGUAUCAACAAAUUUUAUCUCUACUCCAUGAAUACUCCCCUUUUCAUAUAAAACUCUAGUAAUACUGUACCCUAUUUUGGGCUAAUAAUACCGUCUAGGUACCCUUUAAACCUAAUAAAGAUGAAUAACACUAGUCUUUUACGUAUUACCGCGGCUGCUGGCAC